rnacentral:rRNA from 1 species
GAUGAACGCUGGCGGCGUGCCUAAUACAUGCAAGUCGAGCGAACAGACGAGGAGCUUGCUCCUCUGACGUUAGCGGCGGACGGGUGAGUAACACGUGGAUAACCUACCUAUAAGACUGGGAUAACUUCGGGAAACCGGAGCUAAUACCGGAUAACAUGUUGAACCGCAUGGUUUAACAGUGAAAGACGGUCUUGCUGUCACUUAUAGAUGGAUCCGCGCCGCAUUAGCUAGUUGGUAAGGUAACGGCUUACCAAGGCAACGAUGCGUAGCCGACCUGAGAGGGUGAUCGGCCACACUGGAACUGAGACACGGUCCAGACUCCUACGGGAGGCAGCAGUAGGGAAUCUUCCGCAAUGGGCGAAAGCCUGACGGAGCAACGCCGCGUGAGUGAAGAAGGUCUUCGGAUCGUAAAACUCUGUUAUUAGGGAAGAACAAAUGUGUAAGUAACUAUGCACGCCUUGACGGUACCUAAUCAGAAAGCCACGGCUAACUACGUG